rnacentral:rRNA from 1 species
GAUUAGUGGCGAACGGGUGAGUAACACGUGAGCAACCUGCCCCUGACUCUGGGAUAAGCGCUGGAAACGGCGUCUAAUACUGGAUAUGUCCCGUCACCGCAUGGUGUGCGGGUGGAAAGAUUUUUCGGUUGGGGAUGGGCUCGCGGCCUAUCAGCUUGUUGGUGAGGUAAUGGCUCACCAAGGCGUCGACGGGUAGCCGGCCUGAGAGGGUGACCGGCCACACUGGGACUGAGACACGGCCCAGACUCCUACGGGAGGCAGCAGUGGGGAAUAUUGCACAAUGGGCGGAAGCCUGAUGCAGCAACGCCGCGUGAGGGAUGACGGCCUUCGGGUUGUAAACCUCUUUUAGCAGGGAAGAAGCGAAAGUGACGGUACCUGCAGAAAAAGCACCGGCUAACUACGUGCCAGCAGCCGCGGUAAUACGUAGGGUGCAAGCGUUAUCCGGAAUUAUUGGGCGUAAAGAGCUCGUAGGCGGUCUGUCGCGUCUGCUGUGAAAUUCCGAGGCUCAACCUCGGGCUUGCAGUGGGUACGGGCAGACUAGAGUGCGGUAGGGGAGAUUGGAAUUCCUGGUGUAGCGGUGGAAUGCGCAGAUAUCAGGAGGAACACCGAUGGCGAAGGCAGAUCUCUGGGCCGUAACUGACGCUGAGGAGCGAAAG